UCUGAUCAUCUUCUGAUCUAUAGUUUCAAAUCAUUCACUGUGUUUUGUAUUUUUUAAAUUAUGAUUAAAACAUUUUCAGCCAAAUUCUAAAAACUUCUGUGGCUUUUAGGACAAAGUUUCUGCAGAGCAACAGGAGUUCCUUAGAAUUUCGUGGAUUGGAGCGUAGAUGUAAAGCAACCCCGCCCCCCUUCCCCUUCCUGUUGCAGAGGGCUCGGAGCAGGGACACAAGCAUUUUCACAUUAUUUUCCUUUUUCUGUUUGAACAAAGAAAUUCCCCAGAAAUGCAAUUUUUGUGCUACUUUUCUGUAUAUAUGGCCUCCAUUAUGAGGAAAAUGCCACAAGAACAUGUUGAAAAUACUAAAAACACAUUUUUUUUCCCAGAAUUGGAUGUUUAAGUUUGCUAAGAAAUCAAACGUUCUUCCACCGUUUCACUUGACAUCCACUCAGUUCUGGAGAUGUUUUCUGUUGUUUUUCUGUCACAGCAGAUUCAGAUCUCAGCUGCUUCUGCUUGAGCUAAUGAGUUCCUCUGUGUCUCCUCAUGGCUCCAGCCUUCAGGUUCUCUCUGUUUUGUGAACUUUGAGCAGCUUUCACUCUUGAUGACUGUAACUGUGCCUGAUGAGAACCAAACAGGAAGUGACUGCUGAAGGAUCAGCCAACAUGGAGAUGAAGAGUCGCGCGGGGAGGAAGGUGAGAUGGCAAACCUCUCCAGCACCGUUUGAAGCUGAACUGGCAGCAGCAGAUCAGAGGAUGGGAGAAUGGGAAUGCAGAGAAGAGCAGCGCUAUGCCGAGACGGGGGAAGGAGAGUGGACGGUUCAAGAAAAAGAUCUUUGCACGCUGAGAUGGGUUGUCCUCAGGAAAGCCUUUUUAGUUUUACACCACAAACACAAUUUCUGCAACGGUGGAGGCUUCCAUUUGUUUACUGUUGACACGAAAAAGUCCUCAUUUGACUGAUUUUGCACAACAAGACAUUAAAUAUAUUUAUAAUUUUU